rnacentral:rRNA from 1 species
GUAAGGCUAGUUGUUGCGUAAAUGCUACCAGACGACGAUGCAUAGCUGGUCUGAGAGAUGAUCAGUCACACUGGGACUGAGACCGGCCCAGACUCUACGGAGCAGGCAGUUGGGAAUCUGGACAUGGGGGAAACCCUGAUCCCAGCCAUGCCGCGUGAGUGAUGAAGGCCCUAGGGUUGUAAAGCUCUUUCGCCAGGGAAGAUAAUGACGGUACCUGGAUAAGAAGCCCCGGCUAACUCCGUGCCAGCAGCCGCGGUAAUACGGAGGGGGCUAGCGUUGUUCGGAAUUACUGGGCGUAAAGCGCACGUAGGCGGCUAUCCAAGUUGGGGGUGAAAUCCCUGGGCUUAACCCAGGAACUGCCUUCAAAACUGGAUGGCUAGAGUCCGAGAGAGGUGAGUGGAAUUUCCAGUGUAGAGGUGAAAUUCGUAGAUAUUGGAAAGAACACCAGUGGCGAAGGCGGCUCACUGGCUCGGUACUGACGCUGAGGUGCGACAGCGUGGGGAGCAAACAGGAUUAGAUACCCUGGUAGUC